rnacentral:lncRNA from 1 species
AUGAAUGAAAGAAAGAAAGAAAGAAGAGGUAUUUACCCGAUUAAGGAUAAAGAAGGAAAUAAAAAGGAAACAACGGAAGGAGGAGGGGAAGAAGGAGGACGACUAGGAGAAAGGGAGGACUGCUAGGGUAUUGUGGCGUGGAUCUGUAAGGGAGCACCGGUAUCAUGGUGUGGUAGGUGUAAAGCUCGACGGACAACGGAGGAGGUAUGUCUAGUUUUAAAUUUUAAAUUGCAAUAAGGGAUAUGGAUGAUAGGAAGGAAGGGUAGAUGAUAAAUGAAAAAAGUAUCGCUCAUGGAUGGUAAGGUAGUGAAAUGACAAUAAGAUACCCAAACACCUUGGGUCAUCCGAACCAUGGAUUUUACCAAUGUUGGCUCACGGUUGACAACUUGGUUUAGUUGGGAUUAAUAUUAUAUUGCUGUCUAUUUUUAUUGCUGUCUUAUUUUGUUGCUGUCUAUUUUUAUUGUUGUCGACUAUUUUAUUGCUGUGUCUAAUAUUUUAUUGUUGUCUUUAGGUGAUGAAAACACUAUCGGAAUGCAUAUUAGAUUAACAUAUAAGCUAUUUAUCGUGUGGUUGUUUUAUAUUUUUUAUUGCAGUUUUAAAUGACGAGAAUGCUAUCGGAGUGCAUAUUUGAUUAACAUAUAAGUUAAUUAUCAUGUGGGUUGUUUCAAUUAAUUUAUUUCUGUUUUUAGACAAUGAACGUGUUAUCGUGGUACACAUUUGUAACAUACAAGACACUUAUCAUGUGGGUUGUUUGUAGUAUUUAUGUUGCUGUCUUUAGGUGAUGAAAACACUAUCGGAAUACAUGUCAUGUUACAUAUAAGUUAAAUAUCAUGUAGGCUGUUUCGAUUAAUUUAUUUCUGUUUUAGAUGAUAAACAUGCUAUCGGGACGCACAUUUGUUAGCAUUUAAGAUAUUUAUCAUGUGGCCUGUUUGUAGUAUUUAUGUUGUUGUUUUUAGAUUACGAAAAUACUAUAGGGGUGCAUGUUUGGUUAGCAUAUAAGAUAUUUAUCAUGUGAGUUGUUGCUGAUUUAAAAUGACAAUAAGAUUAGGGGGAAAUUUACAUGAAUGAACAUGGGAAUAAGAAUAACAAUGUAUGUAUGAAUGAAUUAAUUAAUGAAUGCAUGAAUGAAUGAGAUAUGACCGAGGUGUUUUGACGCCUAACCAGUGGCGUAUCCAGGAUUCCCUGACAGGGGGCAAGAUUCGACGAAGGCGAAUUUUUUUUUUGUACUAAUUAAAAAACCUAAUUUUUUUUGUACUAAUUUUCUCGAACGCCGGAGGCCGGAGAAGAUGGAUUUGGGGGA